GAACUCUCAGAGGGGCUUGACCUAUAAUUUAUACAGAAGGGGGUGAUGAAAAACCCAAGGCGAGGGUCUGUUUUGCUGCAUUGACUGUUUGGAGAUUCCUAUGUGCACAUCUGGUUUGAACUCUGUGAGCGGUAUCGCCCUGUAAUUCAAAUUUACAUACGGAGGGAGGAAAGUCCAAGGCAAGGCUCUAUUUUGCUGCAUUGACGGGUGCAGCCUGCCCACACAUCGUCUCUCUGUCUGCCGGAUCUCCUUUUCCAGAAACCCGGGCUGGAGGGAACCGAAAUAAACUGCCAAUGCGGUAUCGUAUUUCA